UAGGGAAUCUUCCGCAAUGGACGCAAGUCUGACGGAGCAACGCCGCGUGAGUGAAGAAGGAUUUCGGUUCGUAAAACUCUGUUGUUAGAGAAGAACAGCGCAUAGAGUAACUGUUAUGCGUGUGACGGUAUCUAACCAGAAAGCCACGGCUAACUACGUGCCAGCAGCCGCGGUAAUACGUAGGUGGCAAGCGUUGUCCGGCUUUAUUGGGCGUAAAGCGAGCGCAGGCGGUCAAUUAAGUCUGAUGUGAAAGCCCCCGGCUCAACCGGGGAGGGUCAUUGGAAACUGGAUGACUUGAGUGCAGAAGAGGAGAGUGGAAUUCCAUGUGUAGCGGUGAAAUGCGUAGAUAUAUGGAGGAACACCAGUGGCGAAGGCGACACUCUGGUCUGUAACUGACGCUGAGGCUGGAAAGCGUGGGUAGCAAACAGG
rnacentral:rRNA from 1 species